GAGCCAUGCAGUAACUACAAAGCGAACUAUUCUUUCGCCUUUUACUAAAGAAUACCGUGUAUUUACUGCUUCUAAGUGGCAUUCUUUUAUUUUUGGGAGGUGACUUUCAUCGGAAGGUCC
rfam:Cicer arietinum chromosome Ca1, whole genome shotgun sequence.